CCAGCGGGACACAAUACAUGGAGAGAAGACCAACCAAUCACUGUUGAUGAGGGGAGUGGAACCUCAACCCAGCACAUUAUCGUGAUAGAGUCUGCAGAUGUAGAGGCUGCAGGUUCUGGGCUUAAGCAGGAGAUGACUGAAGGAGAGGAGGACCCACGGCACAGCAGAGACAUCCAGACUGGAGAGGCAGUAGAGCCCCCUGUAGCCAUGGAGGACCCCACCACCACCGCCCCAGCUCAGCCCAGGACCCAACGCAGCAUCAUGGAGGAGGAGGAGGGUCCAGAGGUGCUGCUGGUGAAGGAG